GCUGCUAUUAAGGUUUUUUAGUUAGUAGCAAAUGGAAAAAAUUUGGGAAUAUGUUGUAGCAUGUGUGUGGAAGUUCAUAGCAUUGACGAAUCGAAGUUAAGAACCUGAAUUUGUGCUUGCUCACAGGGACACGCAUGGUGAAUAUGGUCCCCUGGUGGGACUUGCUUCGCUGCGAUAAACCAUGAUGACAUCAUCAUCUGUAAAGCAGAAGGAGGAGUCCUUGUUCCCACUAUUUCUUGCUACACUUUCUAUUCAAAUGCAGCAGGUUUAAGGUAAACAGAGUUGAGUUAUUAUGUUUUGUGCAUUGACAGGUUUAUAGCUGCAUUCGGCAUUGAGAAUAAGGUAGCAGUUUGGCAAUCCUCUGGAAAAUUCAUGUACAUCACUAUCCUCCUCAGUUAUUUUGGUGUCCACCCGCUUGUUCUCUGAAAUUCCGUGCUGAAUGGCACGAGGAUGGUACUGAGAUGUUAGGCAAGAUAUACGGGUUAGCCAUGGACUCUAUGCGCUGGACUGGUGUGCAUGACAACCCUGUGGAAACGAAAGAGCUGCAGUGCAUUGGUGUGGAUGACGAGUCUGAAGAAAAUGAAGAACUUGUAGAGAAGGAUUUCUCUUUAAAUUCCAGAGAUGAUGAUGAGGGUGGCCACCCAAUAGAGGGUAGACCCUUAGUGUUUCGAAGCCCCCAGUCUUUUCCUUUUCCUCAUUUGUAGACCCUUGGUUUAGGCUUGAUGUUCCUUCUGAGUUUACGAAGCUGUGCAUAAUAUCAAUUGUUAAGAUAUGUUAUAUAAAAGUUUUAAUUUUUUCU